AACCAUAUGGUUCCGGGUUCAGUCCCACUGCAUGGCACCUUGGGAAAGCGUCUUCAACUAUAACAUCGAGCCGACCAAAGCCUUGUAAGUGGAUUUGGUAGACGGAAACUGAAGGAAGCCCGUCGUAUGUAUGUAUAUAUAUAUAUGUGUGUGUGUGUAUGUGUGUGUGUGUGUGUCUGUG